rnacentral:rRNA from 1 species
UGAUUGGGCUGAAGCCGUAACAAGGUAGCUGUAGGUGAACCUGCAGAAGGAUCA